GUACAAUCACCAAAGUUAAGCAAUGUUGAGCCUGGUCAGUACUAAGAUGAGUGACUACUUGGGAGUAGCAGGUGCUGUAA